CAAAUUUUAAAUCUACCUGGUUUCCAGGUCGAGUUGUAAUUUGAAGAAGUGUUUUUUACUUUCCGGGUUGGGUUAAAUCCUUUGGGAUAAGGUAUCAUGGAGGGUGAGAAUCCCGUGUAUACCAACCGCAGGAUYGUUUAAUAUACACUUUCUAAGAGUCGAGUUGUUUGGGAAUGCAGCUCUAAAUGGGUGGUAAAUUUCACCUAAUGCUAAAUAUAAGCGAGAGACCGAUAGCGAACAAGUACCGUGAGGGAAAGAUGAAAAGAACUUUGAAAAGAGAGUUAAAUAGUACGUGAAAUUGUUGAAAGGGAAACGGUURAAGUCAGUCAUGCCGGCGGGAAUCAACUUAGGGGAAACUCUGAGUGCACUUCUUCGCUUGGCAGGUUAGCGUCGAUUUUGGAUGUCAUAAAAUGACUGGGGGAAGGUAGCUCUUUCGGGAGUGUUAAGCCCUURGUAGAUGUGAUGUCCGGGAUCGAGGAUUGCAACGGAUACCUUUUGGGCUARCCGCCUAGUCUCUAAUACGAAGUUGGGUUAUGGACAGCACGCUGACUGUGAUCUGAUUUUCGGUUAA
rnacentral:rRNA from 1 species